GAGUCUGUUUCUGCCCUUUCAUUUCAGACGUCUGUGGGCAGAGUCGUUGAUGCUUAUAAAGAACCCACAGCUUGCUGGCUGCUACAGGAGACCGGUCAGCUUUUCUCAUCACUGAACACUUGGCUGUAUGUCCGCAGUGGACAACCAUUCCUCUGAAAUAUCGCGAGAUGUAAACUCAAGGUUAAAGGCACUUUACAAAAUAUUAGGCUUCAAAUGCAAAUACGUGCUGCGAGAAGUCUUCAUUAUUAACCAGAACCCUGAUAUGAAAUCUGCACUAUUCCUCUAACUUGGACAAGAGUGUACUACUCAGUACCCACAAUGCUGUACUGUGGUCAGCUCAUUCUGCCCGCUCACCAAGGCCUUUCCUAAGAACGACGAUCAGAGGAAUAACACUCGGUGAUCCAGGAAAAGAUAAAUUACAGUUAUAAGUCUCUGCUGAACAAGUGUAAUGUUCCAGUCUGUUCUACAGAAAUUCAAUACAAGGCGGCCAGCAGUGUGCAGAUUGUCUUCCCUCCCUCGUUUUUGCCAUGAAUUCAUCCUUUCACCAUUAACACUGUCAUCCCUUCGUGCUUAUCCAACCCAAACUGAAUAUGGCCGGAAAGAAACAAGGGAGGUAAGGAGCUCACAGAACUCUGAAUACAGUGCCUAAGGUCUCAG
rnacentral:lncRNA from 1 species